CAUCCUCUUCUUGAAUGAUGCAAAUCCCUAAUUAAAACCCUCUGGUAGACAUCAGAGUUUAGGGGUUUUUUAGGGUUUAUUAGGGUUUUUUUUUAUGGUUUUUAGAUUUUUUAGGGAUUUUUAGGGGUUUUUAGGUGUUUGUUAUUAGAUGGUUUUUAGGGUUGCCAUGGAUUUCCACUGCGGUACACGCAGGUGUAUUCCGCGUACCCCCAGUUGCUCCACACAUCCAGUUUGAUCCUUUAUUACAUUAACAGCAUGCAGCAAGUGGAGCUGCUGCAGGAGCUGGAGCAGGUGAGCACCUAAUGGACGGGCACACAAGGGCCGAGCUGCCGGCUGAAGGGCACCCUGCCCAUGGCAUGGCAGCAGAGGGCCGGGGGACAACGCUGCUCCCUUCCCCUCCCACAGGCUCAUGAGCAGCUCAUGGAGAACCGCACGGCCACGGCCAGGGAGUCUUUGUUGAAGGUGAGGAGAUGCUGCUGUGUGGUGUGGGGUGGGAGAAGUGCCCUCGUGUGGGUCUGCAGCUCCAGCCCUGCAGGCCCUGCUUGCCCCGAUGGAGGAGGCAGGAGGGGACGGAGCCCCAUGGGAGCACCGGUGCCCUGACGGUUGAUGCUCUUCUCCUUUCCCACAGAAUGCCCAGCAAAUACGGGCUGAAAGAACGGCUGCCCGUAAAGAGGAGCUGGAGCAGGUAGGGGGCAGUGAGGGCUCGUCCUCACAGCUCGGCAUCCUCACGCCUCCCUGCUGUGGCAGAGACCUCCUCGCGUCCCUAAUCCCCGGCGUACCUGGGACCAACCGCAGCCACCUGGUGGGUUAUCUACUCCGCUCCGCUUUGGUCUUGAGAGCAGCACUCAUUGCCCAGCCUGGAAGAGCAGCUCGCACGUGCUGAGACAGCGAGGAGAUCGAGGUCCUGCCCGAGGAGCCGUCUGUCCUCACAUCCACAUCGCUGCCACCCAGCAACCGAAGGAACGGGGUCUCCACUGAGCAGAUGGCAGCAGCACGUGGGCUCUAACGGGAUCGUCUGGUCAGCUGCUCAUCCGCCGUGCCGGUCCUCUCAUCGGUCAGGAGGGGUGCCCGCCGACGCGUGUGCCGCUCCAUCGGGCAGCGGCAGCGCCGCCAGCUCCGAUUGGCUGAGGCUCCGCGCGCGGGAGCGGCCGCCAUCUUGUGUCUCGGUGCCUCCCGGCUCUCCCUUCGUUCGGCUGAAGCCGCUGCCGCAGCCCGGGCCACCCCGCACUGGGCAGCGGCCGCGUGGCAGCCGCUGCGGCGGAGCUGUUCCGGGCAGCACGAAGACGGAACCUGACGCCACGACGGGAAGCGGUUGCUGGGACGGCGGCGCCGCAGAGUGGGUGAAACGCUAGUCCUGAAAUUUCAGUCAGAAUUGGAAGAGAGAAGGGAACGGCAGGAACGGAUCAGCCGGCCAUGGGGCAAUACCUGCUUGGGAGGUACCGGAUGUUGGGGAAAUGCUGCCCCCAGUGCCAGGUGGGGGGGGACAUGGUGGGUCGGGAAGGGGCCUGGAGGGGGGGGAGCAGUGUGGGGGUUUGUGGUAGAGAUGGGGGGGCUGAGGGGGGGUCUGGAGGGGAUAGUGGGGUGUUGUAAGCAGGGGAGCUGCUGCCCCCAUUGCCAGGUGGGGGGGUUAUGGGGUGGGGGAUUGCUAUGGGGGUA
rnacentral:lncRNA from 1 species